CCUACGGUAGGCAGCAGUGGGGGAUAUUGGACAAUGGGGGGGAACCCUGAUCCAGCGACGCCGCGUGAGUGAAGAAGUAUUUCGGUAUGUAAAGCUCUGUCAGCAGGGAAGAAAGCAAUGACGGUACCUGACCAAGAAGCCCCGGCUAACUACGUGCCAGCAGCCGCGGUAAUACGUAGGGGGCAAGCGUUAUCCGGAAUUACUGGGUGUAAAGGGCGCGUAGACGGCUGUGCAAGUCUGGAGUGAAAGGCGGGGGCCCAACCCCCGGACUGCUCUGGAAACUGUAUGGCUGGAGUGCAGGAGAGGUAAGCGGAAUGCCUAGUGUAGCGGUGAAAUGCGCAGAUAUUAGGAGGAACACCAGUGGCGAAGGCGGCUUACUGGACUGUAACUGACGUUGAGGCUCGAAAGCGUGGGGAGCGAACAGGAUUAGAUACCCUUGUAGUC
rnacentral:rRNA from 1 species